rnacentral:rRNA from 1 species
AACGAACGCUGGCGGCAGGCUUAACACAUGCAAGUCGAACGCAUCGCAAGAUGAGUGGCAGACGGGUGAGUAACGCGUGGGAACAUACCCUUUUCUACGGAAUAGCUCUGGGAAACUGGAAUUAAUACCGUAUACGCCCUACGGGGGAAAGAUUUAUCGGGGAAGGAUUGGCCCGCGUUGGAUUAGCUAGUUGGUGGGGUAGAGGCCUACCAAGGCGACGACCCAUAGCUGGUCUGAGAGGAUGAUCAGCCACAUUGGGACUGAGACACGGCCCGAACGCGUACGGGAGGGAGGAGUGGGGAAUAUGGGACAAUGGGCGCAAGCCUGAGCCAGCCAUGCCGCGUGAGUGAUGAAGGCCUUAGGGUUGUAAAGCUCUUUCACCGAUGAAGAUAAUGACGGUAGUCAGAGAAGAAGCCCCGGCUAACUUCGUGACAGCCGCCGCCGUAA